rnacentral:rRNA from 1 species
CAUAAUCCGAAGACGUGAUGUGGAGCGAAAUAAAGUAGUGAAGCGUGUGAGCCAUGUGCCGAGAAAAGCUGCUAUUGUGUAAUGCGUGCCCGUACCGUAAACCGACACAGGUGGAUGAGGAGAGAAUCCUAAGGCCGACGGAAGAAGCAUUGUUAAGGAAUUCGGCAAAAUGACCCCGUAACUUCGGGAGAAGGGGUGCCUGCGAGAGCAGGCCGCAGAGAAUAGGCUCAAGCAACUGUUUAGCAAAAACACAGGUCUAUGCGAAACCGAAAGGUGAAGUAUAUGGGCUGACGCCUGCCCGGUGCUGGAAGGUUAAGAGGAGAGGUUAGCGUAAGCGAAGCUUUGAAUUUAAGCCCCAGUAAACGGCGGCCGUAACAAUAACGGUCCUAAGGUAGCGAAAUUCCUUGUCGGGUAAGUUCCGACCCGCACGAAAGGCGUAAUGAUUUGAGCACUGUCUCGACAAUGCAUCCGGUGAAAUUGAAGUACCAGUGAAGAUGCUGGUUACCCGCGCCAGGACGGAAAGACCCCAUGGAGCUUUACUCCAGUUUGAUACUGGGAUUCGGUACUGCAUGUACAGGAUAGGUGGGAGACGAAGAAGGAUGGACGCCAGUCUGUCCGGAGUCGCUGUUGGGAUACCACCCCUGUAGUACUGGGUUUCUAACCAGUUACCAUGAUCUGGUAAUGGGACAAUGUCAGGCGGGGAGUUUGACUGGGGCGGUCGCCUCCGAAAGGGUAUCGGAGGCGCUCAAAGGUUCCCUCAGAAUGGUUGGAAACCAUUUGAAGAGUGCAAAGGCAGAAGGGAGCUUGACUGCGACACCGACGGGUGGAGCAGGUACGAAAGUAGGACUUAGUGAUCCGGUGGUAUAAAGUGGGAUUGCCAUCGCUCAACGGAUAAAAGCUACCCUGGGAUAACAGGCUUAUCACUCCCAAGAGUUCACAUCGACGGAGUGGUUUGGCACCUCGAUGUCGGCUCAUCGCAUCCUGGGGCUGUAGCAGGUCCCAAGGGUUGGGCUGUUCGCCCAUUAAAGCGGUACGCGAGCUGGGUUCAGAACGUCGUGAGACAGUUCGGUCCCUAUCCGGCGCGGGCGGAGGAUAUUUGAGAGGAACCGUCCUUAGUACGAGAGGACCGGGAUGGACGGACCACUGGUGUAUCUGUUGUCGACCAACGGCAUGGCAGAGUAGCCAAGUCUGGAAGGGAUAAACGCUGAAGGCAUCUAAGCGUGAAGCCCCCCUCAAGAUGAGAUAUCCCUCCUAUAAGGAGUAAGACCCCUUGAAGACUACAAGGUAGAUAGGGCAGAGGUGGAAGCAUGGCAACAUGUGGAGCUGACUGUUACUAAUAGGUCGAGGGCUUAAU